CGAGCGCAACCCUUGUCCUUAGUUACCAGCACGUUAUGGUGGGCACUCUAAGGAGACUGCCGGUGACAAACCGGAGGAAGGUGGGGAUGACGUCAAGUCAUCAUGGCCCUUACGGCCUGGGCUACACACGUGCUACAAUGGUCGGUACAAAGGGUUGCCAAGCCGCGAGGUGGAGCUAAUCCCAUAAAACCGAUCGUAGUCCGGAUCGCAGUCUGCAACUCGACUGCGUGAAGUCGGAAUCGCUAGUAAUCGUGAAUCAGGAUGUCACGGUGAAUACGUUCCCGGGCCUU
rnacentral:rRNA from 1 species